GUUUCUUACAUCAGGAGUGAAGUUUUUUAAUUGUGUACCCUGAACCCCCGCUCACCAGAUGGAUAGCUGAAAACAGGCUACUGUACCUCCCGAGUUAGCCUUCUAAAAACCCUGCCUGCAUGGGGGAAGGUAAGGAGGAAAAGGAGAAUGUACAGAGUAUUACCAGAAAUUAGCCAAUACCGACACAAGCCCAAUUAAUUCCCUUUUUGGGUCUCUGUUGGCUGUUCUUGAACGUGAGUAAAUGCUGUGCUGCGAGGGAGACACCGCAUAGUGCGAUCUCAGCACCACUGCCAGGCGAAGGACAGACACUGCAAAUUAAAAUAUUCCUAAUGUAAGUUUUAACGCAACCCCCCCAAAUCUCUAGGAACACGAGCCCUUCAGUAAUAGCCCCAGCACUGACGGAGCAUUGUUGUGGUGGGGGUUGGUUCUGCAUUAUGGACAGAGGAUGGGGAGGGACAAUAAAGCAAGUCACUGGCAGAGAAAACCACAAGGUAAGCAGGCAACAUGGCAAAAGAAAAUGUUAUAGACUUGCUGAAGGAACCCAGCAGGAAAGAGUAUCAGCUCCACAUAGACAAAAAUAA
rnacentral:lncRNA from 1 species